rnacentral:rRNA from 1 species
UACGUAGGGUCCGAGCGUUGUCCGGAUUUAUUGGGCGUAAAGAGCUCGUAGGCGGUUUCGUAAGUCGGAUGUGAAAACUCAGGGCUCAACCCGGAGACGCCAUCCGAUACUGCGAUGACUGGAGUCUGGUAGGGGAUCACGGAAUACCUGGUGUAGCGGUGAAAUGCGCAGAUAUCAGGAGGAACACCGGUGGCGAAGGCGGAUCUCUGGGCCAUUACUGACGCUGAGGAGCGAAAGCGUGGGGAGCGAACAGG